CUUUAAAGCGCUCGAGCGAGUAGUGCCAUAUGUGUGCUUUGUUGGUUGAAGGAGUGUGCGUGCCCCUAAUAAGAGUGAUUCGCCUCAUCAAUAUUUAAACACUGAAACUACAAACUCAACGUAGCACUGAUGUCAAAUACACGUCACAUCAUAAAAUAUUUAAUUUACAUGCAAACAAUUUUAAAAAUACCAAACCACGAAAUGUUUUGAUAACAAUACAAAAAUAUACAACCCAUAAAUUAAAAAAAGAAACCUAGUUGAUGAGCUUUGGAUGGGUGAAUAAAAAAAACCUGGCAAUUUUUGAGGGAAGCAAAUGCUCGUCAUCCGAAGGAGACAAAAAUUGUCACGAAGUACCGAUUCUUCAUCGUGAGGUGCAAAUGGGAAUUUAUUCAAUCGAUGGACAAACCUGGAGGAAACCGUGCACCCAGCGAACGACGACGACGGGUUGGUGGUGCUCGAAAACAAAUUGAAAAUUAAAAUGCGCCACCCAUAGGACCGGAACCACGUCGGUACGAAGACACCAUUGCACCAGGGAAAUGAGAGAAAUGGAAAAUUUUGCAAACGAAAGACCAUUCCCUAACCAUAGUUCACUCGCUGUGUACCAGCUGCAUAAAGAAUGAAGGAAAAAAUGCACCUAAAAAAAUACGCUCCAAUGCCGAAAAAACACACCUUCUGAUAGCGUGCUGAAAAUAUCAUGCAGCGUCGGAAAUAUUCCAACGAAAAAACAAGAUUACUUUCAACACUACUACUUUCGUCCCAAUCCAGCACGAUAGGGAACGUUUUUCAUCUUUCGCCCAUCUCCACAAAACGCACCACGGUACACGGUGCAAGGGAGUGCUAGAGAACGAAUGAAAAAAAAUCUAUUCCUGAGGAGACAAAAAAAAAAUCUUCGCUAGCACAAUAUACCACUCCCAACGGCUUUCAGUGGCGGUGUGUAGGGGAUGAUGGUUGGAUGAAAAUUUCGGGUAUGCGAAAAGCAAAAUUGUCCAAGACAGCGCGAUGAGGAAGUCUUUGUUCUAAUGGGUUUCGGUUCGGCGCUGGCCAUGGAUGGCUUGUUUUUUUUCUCCUGGAUGAGUUUGUCUUCUUCCCCAUAUACUUCUAUUUUGUCAAAAGUACUUCCCUCCAUCGAAUGAACACAAAAGAAUGGAGAAAAUUAACCGAACUUUGUAAAAAUCGAUCGAUAACGCCGUCUGGAAGAGUAAUGAAAAAUAUCGAUCAGAAAUAUAGCAACCAGCUACUGUAUGGUCGAAAAACGUUAUGAUUGAUGUAUGAUUGCUAAUGUGGAAGAAAACACUAUUGUAUCAUAACAAUUUCUUUACAUAACCGUACUUUUUUUUUGCAUCAAUCGAUAAUUCACCGUGCAGAUGCAGAUUGUGUGCCAAUCUCAUGCCCUUAAUCAGCCAUACAAACCACCACCUUCUGUGCAGUAGGUAUUCAACAAUAAUGUCAAGCAGCCGAAUGCAUCGCAAUGUUCAGGCCGAAUUUAAAAUUCUCCCCUGCUUGUAGAUUCGCGGCAAGAUUUUUGGACCAGGCUUUGUCGUUAGUGGGGCGCCCUGUUGCGUUAUCGGUCCAUCGCCGCCUGUUCCAAAAUGUAACUGGGACAAACAGAUGCAGCUGCAUGCCAGCGAGCAAGCUGUCGAAAUGCAAACGAACUAAGCUCCGAUGCGCAAAUUUUGUCAAACGCCUUCAAACAGCUCGACGGCAGCUUUCGCAGCGUGGAAGGAAAACUGUGCACCGGAAGGAUCUAACGAAUUUGCCUCACACAGGUAUUAAGAGACCAGACUUAACUCCCCAUCGCACCUAACCAUCGUGCAUCUCUGCGUUACUGUUUCUUCUUUCUUCGGUGCUGAACCAAUCAAACGCUCCCCCGAACUGAAGCAACCAGACAAAGUGUCCCGACGAAAAACGCUUCCUGCUAGCAUUGAGGUGGCAUGCAAUCUGUUAGUACAGGCCGUGACACCCGUGCGCGCUGCACUGCAAGUCCCUCUCUUCGGCUUCAACGCUCCAGACAUCGGGCCGUCCCAAAAGGUGUUCCAAACUCGUGUGAAUUAUUCAACACUUUUUGACGCUGCUCAACACCGUUCGCCAAUGUCCGCAUUAGCUUCGUUUGCUUCAUUUUAGGCGGUGAUCGGUCGGGCGACGUUUGCUGCUCGCUCUUCAUCCCUCUUCCAUCGCCGUACACCAGGCCAGUUGCAUAUGUGCAUGCAUUGAGCUAGCAAAUACUUGCAGCACUAUCGAUUUUUUUUCAUUCAGUUCGUGAAACACGCACACACGGAGCUGAAUUAUUCUAGCAAGAAACGAUUUUUGUGUAUGUUAAAAAUAAGCGCAGGUUUUGAAUUUCAUUCCCGAGCCCAAAACUGGUACACAAUUUAAGGCGUCAAUGCUAUUGGCGGUUUUGGUUGAAUACGUUUCGUCGUUUGUACACACGUCUGAUGAUAAGCUGUAAAUCAUAGAAUUAAAGGGUUAAAAUUAUAUUUUCAAACAACCAUCAUCCAUCAUUCGGCUGAUUUUGAACAGAACUGAUAGUUUAACAAUAGAAGCUCCUCUCGUGAGCCAUUAAUUAGCCAAAUGAAGGCGUAAAUAAUAAAGACAUUUAGUUAUGCAAAGAAAGAAACAUAAAAGACACUUUCGCAGCUCUACCAAACUGGUUACAUUUCCUUAAUUGUGUAGCAAAAUUCCGAUAUAGAUUCGGUAAACCUUACGCGUUGAC